rnacentral:rRNA from 1 species
CAAUAGCGUAUAUUAAAGUUGUUGCAGUUCAAAAGCUCGUAGUUGGACCUUGGACCUGGACAGGCGGUCCGCCUCACGGCGUGUACUGUCUUGCUGGGUCUUUCCUCUUGGUGAUCUGUUGUUUCGGCAGCAGGGAACCAGGACUUUUACUUUGAAAAAAUUAGAGUGUUCAAAGCAGGCUCGACGCCGGAAUAUAUUAGCAUGGAAUAAUAAAAUAGGACGUGCGGUUCUAUUUUGUUGGUUUUUGGAAUCGCCGUAAUGAUUAAUAGGGACAGUCGGGGGCAUUAGUACUCACAUGCUAGAGGUGAAAUUCUUGGAUUUUGUGAAGACUAACUUCUGCGAAAGCAUUUGCCAAGGAUGUUUUCAUUAA